rnacentral:rRNA from 1 species
ACUCAAAGGAAUAGACGGGGACCCGCACAAGCGGUGGAUGAUGUGGAUUAAUUCGAUGCAACGCGAAAAACCUUACCUACCCUUGACAUGGACGGAAUUUCCGAGAGAUCGGGGAGUGCUUGAAAGAGAGCCGUUACACAGGUGCUGCAUGGCUGUCGUCAGCUCGUGUCGUGAGAUGUUGGGUUAAGUCCCGCAACGAGCGCAACCCUUGUCAUUAGUUGCUACGAAAGGGCACUCUAAUGAGACUGCCGGUGACAAACCGGAGGAAGGUGGGGAUGACGUCAAGUCCUCAUGGCCCUUAUGGGUAGGGCUUCACACGUCAUACAAUGGUACAUACAGAGGGCUGCCAACCCGCGAGGGGGAGCUAAUCCCGGAAAGUGUAUCGUAGUCCGGAUUGCAGUCUGCAACUCGACUGCAUGAAGUUGGAAUCGCUAGUAAUCGCGGAUCAGCAUGUCGCGGUGAAUACGUUCCCGGGUCUUGUACACACCGCCCGU